rnacentral:rRNA from 1 species
AGAGUUUGAUCCUGGCUCAGGAUGAACGCUGGCGGCGUGCCUAAUACAUGCAAGUCGAACGCACUGUGGUUCAACUGAUUUAAAGAGCUUGCUCUGAUAUGACGAUGAACAUUGCAGUGAGUGGCGAACGGGUGAGUAACACGUGGGAAACCUACCUCUUAGCGGGGGAUAACAUCUGGAAACAGAUGCUAAUACCGCAUAACACUAGCAACCGCAUGGUUGCUACUUGAAAGAUGGUUCUGCUAUCACUAAGAGAUGGUCCCGCGGCGCAUUAGUUAGUUGGUGAGGUAAUGGCUCACCAAGACGAUGAUGCGUAGCCGAGUUGAGAGACUGAUCGGCCACAAUGGGACUGAGACACGGCCCAUACUCCUACGGGAGGCAGCAGUAGGGAAUCUUCCACAAUGGACGAAAGUCUGAUGGAGCAACGCCGCGUGUGUGAUGAAGGGUUUCGGCUCGUAAAACACUGUUGUAAGAGAAGAAUAGCAUCAAGAGUAACUGCUUGGUGUGUGACGGUAUCUUACCAGAAAGGAACGGCUAAAUACGUGCCAGCAGCCGCGGUAAUACGUAUGUUCCAAGCGUUAUCCGGAUUUAUUGGGCGUAAAGCGAGCGCAGACGGUUUUUUAAGUCCGAAGUGAAAGCCCACAGCUUAACUGUGGAAGUGCUUUGGAAACUGGAUGACUUGAGUGCAGUAGAGGAGAGUGGAAAUUCCAUGUGUAGCGGUGAAAUGCGUAGAUAUAUGGAGGAACACCAGUGGCGAAGCGGCUCUCUGGGACUGUAACUGACGUUGAGCUCGAAGUGUGGGUAGC